rnacentral:rRNA from 1 species
GUGCAGCAGCUGCGGUAAUACGGAGGGUGCAAGCGUUAAUCGGAAUUACUGGGCGUAAAGCGCACGCAGGCGGUUGAUUAAGUCAGAUGUGAAAUCCCCGGGCUCAACCCGGGAACUGCAUCUGAUACUGGUCAGCUUGAGUCUCGUAGAGGGAGGUAGAAUUCCAGGUGUAGCGGUGAAAUGCGUAGAGAUCUGGAGGAAUACCGGUGGCGAAGGCGGCCUCCUGGACGAAGACUGACGCUCAGGUGCGAAAGCGUGGGGAGCAAACAGGAUUAGAUACCCUGGUAGUCCACGCUGUAAACGAUGUCGAUUUGGAGUUGUGCCCAUGAGGCGUGGCUUCCGGAGCUAACGCGUUAAAUCGACCGCCUGGGGAGUACGGCCGCAAGGUUAAACUCAAAUGAAUUGACGGGGCCCGCACAAGCGGUGGAGCAUGUGGUUUAAUUCGAUGCAACGCGAAGAACCUUACCUGGUCUUGACAU